CCCGCCCCUUCUUUCGUGCUUCUCGCCACUGGUAUCAUUUUCUCCCAAUCAUAUCUCUUCCUCGCGCCGUUUGUUCAUCUUCAACGUGUCAACGUGGAGAUCUUGGGGCUGGAUCCAUUUUGGCAAUCAAGGCAAUCAAAUCACUUUUUCCUCAUUGUGUAUCACUUAUUAAAUUUGCUCAAAUCCAUCAUGAGUUCAAUAUCUAGGGUUUUCUACCAUUUCCUGCCGAUUCGUCUUCGUUCCUCUUCAUCCAGAGGGUUCAUAGUUCGUUUCCCCUUCUUCCGCGGCUUCCUCUGUUCGCCCACUCGAUUUGUACUAGAUUCAUGCUUUCUCACCAAUCCGCCAUGACCAGGGUCAUCAUGUGGUAUCAGAGAGGCGCGUCCGCUUGAGCUAAGUGUUUUUCUUUAUUUUUCUGUGUUGUAAAUUUGUUUCGAUUCAUUUGUUUUGAGUGUUUGUCUUGAUCUGUGUGUGCCAUUUACUUUGUAACAAUGACAACAGUUGGAUAUGAAGAUUUUGUGCUAGAUAGCAAACUGUCAAAACUUCUUGCUUACAUUUACAUCUUCACUGGAAUGACUAACUAUUGUAGGACUAAUUCUUAGCAAGGCAACAGAUUAUAUUGUUGAAAAGCAGGAAAUAUAAACUGUCAAGGGUGAAAAUAUUGGUCCAGAACAACUUUCCAAAGUGGUUGAAACCAACAAAGACGGUGGUAAAGGCCAGCUUGGUCAAGCUAAUGACGCAUGAAAAAGAAAAGAAAGGUACCUUUUGAAGAAUUUCCAGAGCUUGUGGCUGGGCGGAAAGUAUUAAUUAGUCAAGGAUAUGCAUAUGUUGCAAUGAAUCAGGUUGACUGAUGUAAAUACUUGUUACUUCUUGCUUUGAAUCGCCAGAUGAUAUAGCUUGAAGGAAUAAAUCUUAAAAAAUGUUCGGGAACAUUAGUUUUUAAGUAAAAUUGCCUAAGAUGUUUUUAAGUAAUAAAAUAAAAUAAAGUAUCUAAGGGAUCACAUGAAAGGUUGAGGUUUGUGUAUACUAUCUGCAAUAGGUUUGACCUGACACCAUAUUGUUAGUUUUCAACUAAGCCAUGACAAUGCUUUCUCUAUGUUUGGUAUUGAACUGUUAUAUAUUGAGAAUAAUACAUUCUCUAUAAAACAUUCUUGUAAAUGUUGCCCUCAUAGUUGUAUUUGGAGUAUAUUUGUUUAAUUGGAUGGACUUUAAUACAAAUUGGCAGAAAGGUGAAAGGCAUAAAAUUCACUUGACUAAUGAUUAUUUCACAAAUUGCAAAUGGCAACUGUUCUUCAAUUUGUUCCUCUGUAAGUAUUAAUCGAAGAUUCUACUCUCG